rnacentral:rRNA from 1 species
CUGCAGCCCGAGUGGUGAUCGAUUUUAUUGAGCCUAAAGCGUCCGUAGCCGGACUAGUAAACCCUUGGGUAAAUUGGGCAGCUUAACUGUCCAAAUUCCGAGGGGACCGCUAGUCUUGGGACCGGGAGAGGUCAGAGGUACUCAAGGGGUAGGGGCUAAAUCCUGUAAUCCUUUGGGGACCACCAGUGGCGAAGGCGUCUGACUAGAACGGAUCCGACGGUAAGGGACGAAACCCUGGGGCGCGAACCGGAUUAGAUACCCGAGUAGUCC